rnacentral:rRNA from 1 species
CGUGGGCAAUCUGCCCUUCACUCUGGGACAAGCCCUGGAAACGGGGUCUAAUACCGGAUAUCACACCUGCAGGCAUCUGCGGGGGUCGAAAGCUCCGGCGGUGAAGGAUGAGCCCGCGGCCUAUCAGCUUGUUGGUGAGGUAAUGGCUCACCAAGGCGACGACGGGUAGCCGGCCUGAGAGGGCGACCGGCCACACUGGGACUGAGACACGGCCCAGACUCCUACGGGAGGCAGCAGUGGGGAAUAUUGCACAAUGGGCGAAAGCCUGAUGCAGCGACGCCGCGUGAGGGAUGACGGCCUUCGGGUUGUAAACCUCUUUCAGCAGGGAAGAAGCGAAAGUGACGGUACCUGCAGAAGAAGCGCCGGCUAACUACGUGCCAGCAGCCGCGGUAAUACGUAGGGCGCAAGCGUUGUCCGGAAUUAUUGGGCGUAAAGAGCUCGUAGGCGGCUUGUCACGUCGGGUGUGAAAGCCCGGGGCUUAACCCCGGGUCUGCAUUCGAUACGGGCU